rnacentral:rRNA from 1 species
UACGUAGGGUGCAAGCGUUAAUCGGAAUUACUGGGCGUAAAGCGUGCGCAGGCGGUUAUGCAAGACAGAUGUGAAAUCCCCGGGCUCAACCUGGGAACUGCAUUUGUGACUGCAUAGCUGGAGUGCGGCAGAGGGGGAUGGAAUUCCGCGUGUAGCAGUGAAAUGCGUAGAUAUGCGGAGGAACACCGAUGGCGAAAGCGGGUCUCUGGGCAUUUCCUGACGCUGAGGCGCGAAAGCGUGGGGAGCAAACGGG